UACGUAGGGUGCAAGCGUUGUCCGGAAUUAUUGGGCGUAAAGAGCUCGUAGGCGGUUUGUCGCGUCUGCUGUGAAAACCCGAGGCUCAACCUCGGGCCUGCAGUGGGUACGGGCAGACUAGAGGUAUGCAGGGGAGAAUGGAAUUCCUGGUGUAGCGGUGAAAUGCGCAGAUAUCAGGAGGAACACCAAUGGCGAAGGCAGCUCGCUGGGACGGUACUGAGCUGAGACGCGAAAGCGUGGGGAGCAAACAGG
rnacentral:rRNA from 1 species